GUUGUAUGGUUAAGURAUUAAGCGUAGACGGUGGAUGCCUUGGCAGUCAGAGGCGAUGAAGGACGUACUAACCUGCGAAAAGCGAUGGUGAGCUGGUAAGAAGCAUUUGAGCCAUCGAUGUCCGAAUGGGGAAACCCACCUGCAUAAGCAGGUAUCUUAGCGUGAAUACAUAGCGCUAAGAGGCGAACUCGGGGAACUGAAACAUCUAAGUACCCGAAGGAAAAGAAAUCAAUUGAGAUUCCGGCAGUAGCGGCGAGCGACCCCGGAGCAGCCCNGCGCUAAGAGGCGAACUCGGGGAACUGAAACAUCUAAGUACCCGAAGGAAAAGAAAUCAAUUGAGAUUCCGGCAGUAGCGGCGAGCGACCCCGGAGCAGCCCUUAAGCGGCUUAGGCGUUAGGUGAACAGGUUGGAAAACCUGGCAAUAAAGGGUGAUAGCCCCGUAACCGACGGCGCCUUAGRCGUGAAAACGAGUARGACGGGACACGUGAUAUCUUGUCUGAAUAKGGGGGGACCAUCCUCCAAGGCUAAAUACUCCUGACUGACCGAUAGUGAACCAGUACCGUGAGGGAAAGGCGAAAAGAACCCCUGUGAGGGGAGUGAAAUAGAACCUGAAACCGUCUACGUACAAGCAGUGGGAGCCUCUUUUAUGGGGUGACCGCGUACCUUUUGUAUAAUGGGUCAGCGACUUAAUGUAAGUAGC
rnacentral:rRNA from 1 species